rnacentral:rRNA from 1 species
CCCGAAACCAAGUGACCUACCCAUGACCAGGCUGAAGGUGUGGUAAAACGCACUGGAGGGCCGAACCCACGUAAGUUAAAAAUUGCGGGGAUGAGUUGUGGGUAGCGGUGAAAUUCCAAACGAACUUGGAGAUAGCUGGUUCUCUCCGAAAUAGCUUUAGGGCUAGCCUCGUGGAGAGGAUAAUGGAGGUAGAGCUCUGUUUGGACUAGGGGCCCGUCAGGGGUUACUGAAUCCAGAUAAACUACGAAUUCCAGAUAUCCAUACACGGGAGUCAGACUGCGAGUGAUAAGAUCCGUAGUCGAAAGGGAAACAGCCCAGAUCACCAGUUAAGGUCCCCAAAUCUAUGCUAAGUGGAAAAGGAUGUGGAGUUGCGUAGACAACUAGGACGUUGGCUCAGAAGCAGCCAUCAUUCAAAGAGUGCGUAAUAGCUCACUAGUCGAGUGGCGCUGCGCCGAAAAUUUACCGGGGCUAAGCAUAGUACCGAAACUGUGGAUGUGUUUUAAAGAGCACGUGGUAGGAGAGCGUUCUAAGUGCGGCGAAGGUGAACCGAGAGGAUCAUUGGAGCGCUUAGAAGUGAGAAUGCCGGUAUGAGUAGCGAAAGAUAGGUGAGAAUCCUAUCCGCCGAAAGACUAAGGUUUCCUGGGGCAGGCUCGUCCGCCCAGGGUAAGUCGGGACCUAAGGCAAGGCCGAGAGGCGUAGUCGAUGGACAACAGGUAGAAAUUCCUGUACUGUGUUCAAUCGUUAUGAGCGAUGGAGGGACGCAGGAGGUGAAGCACGCAUCGAGCUGGAUCGAUGUUCAAGCGACAAGUGCGGUUAAGAGUCAAAUGCUUCUAACCAGCAACACGAGUCGUGAUGAGGAGUGAAUUAAAAGUAGCGAAGGUGUGGUAGUCACACUGCCAAGAAAAGCUUCUAGCCAGAGAGAACAUACCCGUACCGCAAACCGACACAGGUAGUCGAGUGGAGAACACUAAGGUGAGCGAGAGAACUCUCGUUAAGGAACUCGGCAAAAUGACCCCGUAACUUCGGAAGAAGGGGUGCUGGCCAUGAGAGUGGUUAGCCGCAGUGAAUAGGCCCAAACAACUGUUUAUCAAAAACACAGGUCUCUGCAAAAUCGUAAGAUGACGUAUAGAGGCUGACACCUGCCCGGUGCUGGAAGGUUAAGAGGAGAGCUUAGCGUAAGCGAAGGUUUGAAUUGAAGCCCCAGUAAACGGCGGCCGUAACUAUAACGGUCCUAAGGUAGCGAAAUUCCUUGUCGGGUAAGUUCCGACCUGCACGAAAGGUGUAAUGAUUUGGGCACUGUCUCAACGAGAGACUCGGUGAAAUUAUAAUACCCGUGAAGAUGCGGGUUACCCGCGACAGGACGGAAAGACCCCAUGGAGCUUCACUGUAGCUUGAUAUUGAGUAUCUUUUAAACAUGUACAGGAUAGGUAGGAGCCAGAGAAGAUAGGACGCUAGUCUUAUUGGAGGCAAUGUUGGGAUACUACCCUUGUUUGAAGGAUGCUCUAACCUCGACCUGUAAGCCAGGCCAGGGACAGUGUCAGGUGGGCAGUUUGACUGGGGCGG